ensembl:snoRNA
AGCCUGACACAUAGUCAACCCUCAAUCAAGAAGUGUUGACUGACACAAACAGGUACAAAAAAAAUCCUCUUUUGCAACACAGAAGUCGUCAUUCAGUAAGAGUUUCAAUACAUCUAAGAAGGAAUAUU